rnacentral:rRNA from 1 species
AGUGAACGCUGGCGGUAGGCCUAACACAUGCAAGUCGAACGGCAGCACAGUAAGAGCUUGCUCUUACGGGUGGCGAGUGGCGGACGGGUGAGGAAUACAUCGGAAUCUACUUUUUCGUGGGGGAUAACGUAGGGAAACUUACGCUAAUACCGCAUACGACCUACGGGUGAAAGCAGGGGAUCUUCGGACCUUGCGCGAGUGAAUGAGCCGAUGUCGGAUUAGCUAGUUGGCGGGGUAAAGGCCCACCAAGGCGACGAUCCGUAGCUGGUCUGAGAGGAUGGUCCGACACACUGGCAGUGAGGAACGGUCCAGACUCCUACAGGGGGACGCAGUGGGGAAUAUUGGACAAUGGGGCCGAGCCUGAUCCAGCCCUACCGCGUGGGUGAAGAAGGCCUUCGGGUUGUAAAGCCCUUUUGUUGGGAAAGAAAAGCAGCAGGUUAAUACCCCGCUGUUCUGACGGUACCCAAAGAAUAAGCACCGGCUAACUUCGUG